AUCAGUUCAUCCUGUGGGAAUGGAGGUCAGGGUCAGUUCAUCCUGUGGGAAUGGAGGUCAGGGUCAGUUUAUCCCAUGGGAAUGGGGGUCAGGGUCAGUUCUCCAGGAACUACUCCGAUGUGAGUCCUCCUCCAUGGGGUCAGUCCCUCAGGAACUGCUCCAGGUCCGUAUUCCAUGGGGUCAGUCCCUCAGGAACUGCUCCAGGUCCGUAUUCCAUGGGGUCAGUCCCUCAGGAACUGCUCCAGGUCCAUAUUCCAUGGGGUCAGUCCCUCGGGAACUGCUCCAGGUGCCUUUCCAUGGGGUCAGUCCCUCAGGAACUGCUCCAGGUCUGUAUUCCAUGGGGUCAGUCCCUCAGGAACUGCUCCAGGUCCAUAUUCCAUGGGUUCAGUCCCUCAGGAACUGCCCCAAGUGGGUCCUUCCCACCACCCUGGAGUCACCUCACCCUCAGAAAACCCCCAGGCUCUUUGAUAUUUUUUACACCUUAAACCCACAACUCUUCAUUUUACCCCUGAAAGGCAAAUCCAGCAGGUCUGCACCCCCCAGCUAUCCCAAUUUCCCGGUUCUGCUGGCGAUUCCAGCCUCUCAAUCCAUGGCAAUUCCCUCCCUGACGUGCCUGAACCCUCCCGGCCGGAGGAUCCCUCGGCUCCUUCCCAUCCUGGGGUUGCAACAUUCCCUCUGGCUGGGGUUGGAAUGGCUUCAAACCCUGGAAACCCUUUCCCCCACCCUGCUCUGUCACACCCCGUGCCCAGAGCCACUCCUGGCACUGCUGGUGGCUUCCCUGGGUGUCCUCCCUGGGACGUUCCCGCUGCUCCGUGCGGCCUUUCCCGGUUCCCUGUCCCGGUUCCCGGCGUGUCCUGGCGCUGCCGCCGCCCCCUCCCGGCUCCUGGAGAGGCUGUUUGU